rnacentral:rRNA from 1 species
UACAGAGGGGGCAAGCGUUGUUCGGAAUUACUGGGCGUAAAGGGCGCGUAGGCGGCCUUCUAAGUCGAACGUGAAAUCCCUGGGCUCAACCCAGGAACUGCGUCCGAUACUGGGAGGCUUGAAUCCGGGAGAGGGAUGUGGAAUUCCAGGUGUAGCGGUGAAAUGCGUAGAUAUCGGGAAGAACACCCGUGGCGAAGGCGGCUCUCUGGGACGGUACUGACGCUGAGACGCGAAAGCGUGGGGAGCGAACAGG